rnacentral:rRNA from 1 species
CCUACGGGAGGCAGCAGUGGGGAAUAUUGCACAAUGGGGGAAACCCUGAUGCAGCGACGCCGCGUGAGCGAUGAAGUAUUUCGGUAUGUAAAGCUCUAUCAGCCGGGAAGAAGAUGACGGGUCCUGACUAAGAAGCCCCGGCGAACUACGUGCCAGCAUCCGCGGUAAUACGUCGGGGGCAAGCGUUAUCCGGGUUUACUGGGUGUAAAGGGGGCGUAGACGGGGCUGCAAGCCAGGUGUGAAAGCCCGGGGCUCAACCCCCGGAUUGCAUUUGGAACCGUGUGGCUGGAGUGCCGGAGAGGCAGGCGGAAUUCCUGGUGUAGCGGUGAAAUGCGUAGAUAUUAGGCGGAACACCAGUGGCGAAGGCGGCCUACUGGACGGUGACUGACGUUGAGGCUCGAAAGCGUGGGGAGCAAACAGGAUUAGAUACCCCGGUAGUC